GAUGGGGGGGAGGGAUAUAGACUUAUAUUCAGAACCAGUUUCUAGUCACACUGUAACUUUAGAGCUUGAUUGAAUUUGUGGCUUGGGGAAGAGAAGGACUAUCAAUUUUGACUAGAAUGAGGAAUAGUGCAGCACCUUUCAUCCAGUGACCUCAAGCAUCUUGUGAGACUUAAUUCUUGAAUAAUCAUAACACCUGUGAGGUUUGUCUGAAAGUGUCUUCAGAUCAGAUUUGCUCCGUUUACAAGUAGAAAAUACUUCUGACCCCCAGUUGCCAGCCCUACAAACUCAGAAUGGAAUCUGAAAGGCAAGCUGGGUUUGCUCUUGCUCUUGCAUUAUCACCAAUAAUAAAGACUC